UACGGAGGGUGCAAGCGUUGUCCGGAAUCACUGGGCGUAAAGGGCGCGUAGGCGGCUCAUGAAGGCUGUGGUGAAAGUCCGGGGCUCAACCUCGGAUCGGCCGUGGCGACUCGUGGGCUGGAGCACUGUAGAGGCGGGUGGAAUUCCGGGUGUAGCGGUGGAAUGCGUAGAGAUCCGGAAGAACACCAGUGGCGAAGGUGGCCCGCUGGGCAGUGGCUGACGCUGAGGCGCGACAGCGUGGGGAUCAAACAGG
rnacentral:rRNA from 1 species